rnacentral:rRNA from 1 species
UAAUAAUUUUUAAACUCUAACAGUAAACUGCAUAUUUUUAAACGAAGUGAAUGGAAAUAUCUUACUAGCUUCAGGAACAAAAAUCAAAAGAGAUUCUUAAAGUAGUGUGAAUGAAAAAAGAACUGUUUAAAAGUAGAAUGAAUAUAAAUUUGUUUGAACAUAAGGGGAACCUUCCUCUAAGACUAAAUAUAACAUAUAAGCGAUAGAAAUAGUACCGUGAGGGAAAUGAUUGAAAUAGAAGUUUUAUAAGCAGCUCAAAGGAUUCUAUUCAUAGAGAAUUAGAGCGUACCUUUUGCAUAAUGGGUCAGCAAGUUAAUGUUUGAUGCGAGCACACAUGCGUAGAUAAACCAAUUAACAUAUAAGGAUACAGUAUCAAACAUUAGACCCGAAGCCUAGUGAUCUUACCAUGACCAGGAUUAUAAAAGUCCGAACGGGUUAUCGUUGUAUAGAUAUCCGAAGAGUUGUGGUAAGUUAGUGAAAGACAACCCUGACUAGGAUAGCUGGUUUUCUGCGAAACCUAUAUAAGUAGGUAAUUUAAAUGUAAUACUAGAAGGUACAGAAUUGUGAUCCCAUGCAACAUACAUUACGUUUUUGUUGAGCUUUUUGUUUUUUCUUUAGAAAAAACAAAACAUUAAACAAACAUAUAAUGUUUUUGCGGAAAUUGGGGGGUCGUGAAGACUCUAUCAGUGGGUAUUUGUUCUCGGAAGGUCUAUAUAUUAAUAUUAAAUAAUCGGACAUAGUACGAUAAGGUUGUAUGUCUAAAGGGAAACAGCCCAGAACAAGAGUUAAUAAGGUUCCAAAAUUAUUGUUAAGUGAAAUUAAGGCAGUGUAUAUCCUAAACAAUCAGGAAAUAGGCUUAGAAGCGGCCACUUUUUGAAGAUCUCGUAACAGAGCACUGAUUUUUUAUAUGGAUAAAAGCACCGAAAAUUUAACGGAUCUAAACAAUAUACCGACACCUUGUCUAUACAUAUAUACUUUUUGUGUAUGUAUGGGGUAGCAGAACAUUGGGUAACUAACUAAUUAUCUUUUUAAGAUGUUUAGUUAAAAAUCAAACUUGUGUAAACAAGUUAAAGGUUAAAGAAUCUCAAGAGAUAAUGCUGACAUGAGUAACGAUAAAGGGAAAAUACAAAUGUUGUAUCCCUUCGCCUUAAGCUUAUGGUAUUUAUUAAAGUCACGGCCUCUAAGAUUCUAAAUAUACCGUACCUAAAUACUAACACAAGUAAGCAAGUAGAGUAUACGAAGGUGUUCGAGUAAUUAAUCAUUAAGGAACUCAGCAAAUUGACUCACGUAACUUCGGGAUAAGGUGGGCCAUCCCUCCUUAUUAAUAUAAGGUCUGGGAGAGGAGGCACGGAAUAGUGUUGUACGACUGUUUAAUUAAAACAAAGCACGCUGCAAAGAAGUAAAUUCGAAGUAUUGAGUGUGAUGUCUGCCCGAUGGCGGCUGGUUAUCGGAUUUUCUUAGUUAAUUAAAAAGGCUUGGUUUUGAAGGAACCCCCGUUCAAUGGCGGCCUUAAAAUUGAGGGUCCUAAGGUAGCGGAAUACCCUGGCCGUUAAAUGCGGUCUUGCAUGAAUGAUGUAACGAUACAACAGCUGUCUCCAUGAUUAGCUCGGUGAAAUUGGAAUAACUGUGCAGAUACAGUUUACCUCUAGUUAGACGAGAAGACCCUAUGCAGCUUUACUGUUGCUAGUUAUUGUAUAUGAUAUAAUAAGUUGUAGUGUAUAAGGUAAUUGGUUUUAUGUAGUUGAAACACCUUUACUUUAUUUGUCAUAUAAUAAUAACCGAAAGGAACAAUUGCUAGGUGGCAGUUUAUGCGGGGCACAGAUCCCAUAAAUAGUACCUGGGAGUAUCCAAAUUUAUUUUUGUAAAAUUGCAAAUUGCAAUUAAAUAUAAUUUUAAAUAACAUAUGUUACAUAAGGGUUAUAUUUGAUAUUGUUUAGUUUGAAUUUGGCACUAUUAUAAUACUUUAAGUGUUUUAUUGCUAAUUCGUUUAUACAUCCAUUUAAGUUGGAAAUUAAAUUAAUGAAGUAGGAUUUUAUCUAUAUAAAAAUAUAGAUGUAUGUAAUGUGUCACCCCAAGAAUGAUUUCCUGAUAUAUUUUGUUGUUUAUAGUAUUUUCUUCUUGUAAAGAUAAAAAAUAUUAUGAAAUGAUACUUAUUAUACUUAUAAAGUUUAACGGCUUAAACCUGCUUUACUGUUUGACCUACACGUCUUUCAGUCGCGUAAGCGGGGCAUAUGAUCACAAAACGCACAAAGGAAAGGUUUUGGAUUAUUGAAAAAGUUACGCUAGGGAUAACAGGCUAAUUGCGCAAGAGAGUUCAAAUUGAGUGCGCAGUUUGGCACCUCGAUGUCGGCUUAGCUCAUCCACAUGAAUGUAGGAGUCAUGAAGGGUACGACUGUUCGUCGAUUAAAGAGCUACACGAGCUGGGUUAAAUACGUCGUGAGACAGUAUGGUUUCUAUCUUCUAGAGGAAAUUUGAAUAAAAUAAAGAUAGCCCCUUGUACGAAAGGAGUUGGGUAUAUUAACCCCUGGUUUACCUGCUGUUUAUCUGCUUAUAUUAAUAUAGU